CCUCGGGCGGCAGCAGUGGGGAAUAUUGGACAAUGGGCGAAAGCCUGAUCCAGCCAUGCCGCGUGUGUGAAGAAGACCUUCGGGUUGUAAAGCACUUUCAGUGGGGAAGAAAGCCUUGGGGCUAAUACCCUCGAGGAAGGACAUCACCCACAGAAGAAGCACCGGCUAACUCCGUGCCAGCAGCCGCGGUAAUACGGAGGGUGCGAGCGUUAAUCGGAAUUACUGGGCGUAAAGCGCGCGUAGGCGGUCUGAUAAGCCGGUUGUGAAAGCCCCGGGCUCAACCUGGGAACGGCAUCCGGAACUGUCAGGCUAGAGUGCAGGAGAGGAAGGUAGAAUUCCCGGUGUAGCGGUGAAAUGCGUAGAGAUCGGGAGGAAUACCAGUGGCGAAGGCGGCCUUCUGGACUGACACUGACGCUGAGGUGCGAAAGCGUGGGUAGCAAACAGGAUUAGAUACCCCGGUAGUC
rnacentral:rRNA from 1 species